rnacentral:rRNA from 1 species
AACCUAUGGACGGGAAUAACCUCGGGAAACUGAGAAUAAUGCCCGAUAGAACACUAUAUCUGGAAUGGUUUGUGUUCCAAAUGAUUUAUCGCCGUAGGAUGGGACUGCGGCCUAUCAGUUUGUUGGUGAGGUAAUGGCCCACCAAGACUAUUACAGGUACGGGCUCUGAGAGGAGUAGCCCGGAGAUGGGUACUGAGACACGGACCCAGGCCCUAUGGGGCGCAGCAGGCGAGAAAACUUUGCAAUGUGCGAAAGCACGACAAGGUUAAUCCGAGUGGUUUGUGCUAAACGAACCUUUUGUCGGUCCUAGAAACACCGAUGAAUAAGGGGUGGGCAAGUUCUGGUGUCAGCCGCCGCGGUAAAACCAGCACCUCAAGUGGUCAGGAUGAUUAUUGGGCCUAAAGCAUCCGUAGCCGGCGCUAUAAGUUUUCGGUUAAAUCUGUACGCUCAACGUACAGGCUGCCGGGAAUACUGUAGCGCUAGGGAGUGGGAGAGGUAGACGGUACUCGGUAGGAAGGGGUAAAAUCCUUUGAUCUAUUGAUGACCACCUGUGGCGAAGGCGGUCUACCAGAACACGUCCGACGGUGAGGGAUGAAAGCUGGGGGAGCAAACCGGAUUAGAUACCCGGGUAGUCCCAGCUGUAAACUAUGCAAACUCAGUGAUGCAUUGGCUUGUGGCCAAUGCAGUGCUGCAGGGAAGCCGUUAAGUUUGCCGCCUGGGAAGUACGUACGCAAGUAUGAAACUUAAAGGAAUUGGCGGGGGAGCACCACAAGGGGUGAAGCCUGCGGUUCAAUUGGAUUCAACGCCGGG